CGGAAAUGAGAACUUAGUGGUGAUAUGGUGGCUAGCUGAGCACGAAACCAUAACUCCCGUGGCUCGGCCUCAAAUCUAUGUCACAGACAAUGAAAUAUAGUGCAGAAACCAAGGUUUUAUUUAAAAGUAACUCAAGUUCUUCAUUUUUCAAGGACUGUUAAAAAUACUGAAGUGCAUAGUUUACAAUACCACCCUAAAAUUUUCUUUCCCCUCUAUGGGUUGUCUGCUAGUUAUCUGCCCCAAUGUCCAUUUUUCUUCUCUUCCUUAGAAGUAGAACCUGGGAUUUUACUGGACCCCUCAAAUAAAAUAGAAACCUCUCCCAGAUACUGCCACAUGACUAAAUUCUGGGCAACGAGUUUAAGUGCAAGCGUUGAAGGCAACUCCUGAAAAAUCUCCUCAGAGUGUGUCAGCAGGCCUUGUCUCUUCCUUCCUCCUUUAUGCUGGCAACAGUACAGAUGAUCUGACUGGAACUGAAACUCCUAUUUUGCACCAGGGGAGAGCAUGCUAAAGACAAUGGAAUGAGAGAAGAGAAAGACCCUGAGUCCCUGAUGUUCAUGGAACUCCCAUGAUGGUGAUGAAUUACCUACAUUUGGACUUUUUAAAAUGAUUGAGGAAGAGGAACAAUCUUCUGUCCUAGGUGCUUUUUUGCCAAAAGUAUUUUUCCACCACCAGCAAAUACAUGGGUACAAUGACUUGUGACGACUUGAAACUGGGGCAGAUGACUCGAGGAAAUGUGAGGAAAUGUGGAGAUACAUUUCUGAUGUAUUUUGUGGACAAGAAUACCUUCUCCAGAAAAGAUCAGGAAUUUAGGAAUGGCUUGGCUGGGCAUUUCUGCCUCAGGUCUCCCAUGAGGUUGUAUUCAAGUUGUGAGUAG
rnacentral:lncRNA from 1 species